GCCCCCAUCGUCUAGCGGCCUAGGACGGAGCGUUUUCAGCGCUCAGAUCGCCGGUUCGAAUCCGACUGGGGGUA
rfam:Microgenomates (Roizmanbacteria) bacterium GW2011_GWC2_41_7 TT78_C0062, whole genome shotgun sequence.